UACAGAGGUCCCAAGCGUUGUUCGGAUUCAUUGGGCGUAAAGGGCGCGUAGGCUGCGAGGCAAGUCGGGUGUGAAAUCUCAGAGCUCAACUCUGAAACUGCACUCGAUACUGCUUUGCUCGAGGACUGGAGAGGAGAUUGGAAUUCACGGUGUAGCAGUGAAAUGCGUAGAUAUCGUGAGGAAGACCAGUGGCGAAGGCGGAUCUCUGGACAGUUCCUGACGCUGAGGCGCGAAGGCCAGGGGAGCAAACGGG
rnacentral:rRNA from 1 species